rnacentral:lncRNA from 1 species
ACCCUGCAAUUGUCCCACAACGGUACCUAUCUGGAUCUAGAAUCCACGCUAGCAGAACAGAGAGAUGAACUGGAAGGCUUCCAAGAGGAUGCUGGGAGGGGCAAGAAACACAGUAUAAUUCUGAGGACCCAGCUGUCGGUGAGAGUCCAUGCUUGCAUUGAAAAACUUUACAAUUCCAAUGGACGGGAGCUGAGACGGGCACUUUUCUCCUUGAAACAAAU